rnacentral:sRNA from 1 species
GACCAUUCUAAUAUGUAUCUAUUUAUUAUAUACUUAUUAGGAUUAUGGCCAUACGGACAGCCAGGUCAACUGCCGA